GCAGCUACGUCUCCGGGCAAACUUCAAUCCCAGUGCGCGCCAGAGCAGAUCUCGCCUGCUGCUCCAGGACCCAGGGAACCUUUAAGGACAUCCUGGAAAUUCGCCUGCUGGGCACCUGCAGCUCAGCUCCAUGUCUGCAGGACAACAUUUGACCUUCACAGGCCACCUGCAAGUGCCCCCACCUCUGCAUCCAAAGGGAACUGAACCAAGGGCCUUGGGCAUGGUACACAAGAACUCUACCACUGAGUUGUAUCUCCAGUGUUCCCACGUCACCGUAUUUUAAAUGGAAUUUCAUCUUGCCUGUUGGUAUUUGUGCAUACGUAUCCUUAAAGAAUAUUCCAGCACAAGAAAGGGCUUUCCUUGAAGUCCCUUUAUCUGCCGAAAAAUAAAUCCUACCUCCUGUCAUGGACCCUCUCUCUAAGAUUCUCAUCAACCAGGGAAGAGAAGUCACAGGAGAAAAGGCUGGAGUCAAGCUCACACCCAAACGGACCAUAUCACGGGCAUCACCCAUUCCUCUGAGAGCUGCUCUGAGAUCAGACAACUUUAAUUUUCUAAGAGACUUUUUAUCUGCAUUAUCUGCAGAUAAUGUUCUCUGGGUGUUUCCUCCCUGCACCCAUGGCCUCAGCUCCCAGAAGUCCCAAGUCCCAUGCCCUUCCUC
rnacentral:lncRNA from 1 species